GUCCAUGGUGCCACUCCCAAUCUGGUUCACAUUGGGCAAGGACCCGCCGUAGUACUGGCCGCGGCUCGGGCCCAGUUGCAGGUACUGGGAUUUCUGGAGCUGGAGCUGCGAGAGAGAAGCCGGCAGCUGCGGGAGGGGUCACUCCCAGGUUCAUCCGGAGCGCCAGCCCCAAAGACAUAAAAAGACCCAAGCGGUGGAAUCAACAGCAUCUAGGCAGAAGUUCUGAGGACCAGGGGAUGCCAUUUCUUAUCACGGCCGGAAGCUGUGACUUGACAGGCCAGGCGGCUUUCCAAUGGCCUGAGUCGGAGGGCGGCCUCAGAAGCACGCUCCUGGCGGUGCAUGGAGAGCUGGCCGCCCCACCGCCCCAGCUUCCUGGGGGGCCGUGGAUACCGGAGGCGGAAGUGAAGCCCGGGAACUACUGGCUGCCUGCCCGGUGGAGCACCUCGCCCAGGUAAACAGCUGUUUCCUGUGAGCUGUAGUGGAGCCCAUGGUAAGAUUAACCAUGUUCGUUCUCGGGUGGCUCUCAAGGGCCUGGGGUUCUGACCCAGGGUCUGUGCUGGGAGCCCUUGGUGGCUGCUGGCCAGACACACCCACCAUGAACACCCACAGUGUCCCUCCCAGCAGUCAUACCAGAUGAAACAGCCCAGCUCCAGGCUGUGGCAAGGGGAGGAGGUGGAGGGUGGGGACCCCACAGCUCCCACCCCACGCCUACCUGGGUACGGGUCACCUGUGGCCUCCCGUGACCUUCUCUGCCCCCUUCUGUGUCCAAGCAGCAUGGCAGAAACCUGUGCUACAUCCACUUCUCACAGACCACGUGGCCCCAGAGGCUGUGACCCCUCGUGGACAUGUGUCUCCCACCUAGAGUGCUACAGGCAGGUAUAAGAGGGACACACGGCAUGUGACACACAGCAGGUACUCAUGCCACACGCGCUUUCUACACGGGCUGAGCCACCAGCUCUAGGAGGCCAGACCUCAGGAGCAAGAACUCCUUGAACUGGCUUUGUUCACACCAUGUCCCCAGCCCACAGGAAGCCUGGCAUGCAGGGACGAUUGACAGGACUGGGGAGACACAGAACUCCCAUGGUUCCCAAGCUCCAUCUCUGUUCAAGCCUUUCCCGCGAUACCCAGCUCCCGUACACUUUGCUGGAGGCACUCAGGCUUUGGACCAGGAGUGGAUGUUGAGUGGGGACUCUUUUCUUUUCUGAGAUAGAGUGUCGCUCUGUUACCCAAGCUGGAAUACCGGAGUACGUUGGUGCCAUCUCGGCUCACUGCCACCUCCACCUCCUGGGCUCAAGUGAUUCUCCUGCCUCAGCCUCCCGAGUAGCUGGGAUUACAGCCACAAGCCACCAGGCCUGGCCAAUUUUUUUUUUUUUUUUUUUUUUUUGGUAUUUCUAGUAGAGAUGGGGUUUUUCACCAUGUUGCUCAGGCUGA